rnacentral:lncRNA from 1 species
AAGAAGACUAGAUAGAUAAGUAACUCUCUCAGUAGUUAGGUGCAAGAUUUAAUGAAUCAAUUUUGGUUAACACAAACUCAAAACAACCAUUGAUACAACCUCUUUGGUAUUAAAAUCUAGAGAUCUAAUCCUAGCAAACAUGCUUACCCUAUUGCUAAACCCUAAUCCUAAUUUUUUGGCUCCAAAUCGUUCUGGCCGUUGGAUCUCUAUCUUUGGGUGCCACUAUUAUAUCAACCAUUGAUCUUAUAUGUUGACUUGCACACAUCACAACAAUCAGUUCAAAUUUGAAAUUUGAAUCCUUGAAAAUUCAUCACAAUUAUUAUGCACACUACACAACACACGCGUUCUUUCUCUAAAAAAAAAACAAGCGUUUCUUCUUCUUCUUCCUCUUAUCAUCAUCACCACCGUCAACCCUCUCCCCCCAUCCAUCGGCGGCGACCACCAAGCCUCUCCCUCAAGCCACCGAGGUUCUCCCCCCUCUGCUCCACAUAUCUCCUCACACACUCAACCACUCUCUUCUUCCCACUUUUCACCUCCCGACGCUUCUCGACGGCGCCGCCUCCACUUCCGUUGCGAAUCAGAAAUCAACCACACGCUUGCCACCAUCUCCUCUCCGUUGAGAAAUGGAAUCCCUCUUCGACGGCGUCACCUCCAGGUUAAACAUUUAUCGCUACUCUCUCCUACAAUCCUAUUUGUAAUUGUGACAGGUUGGUUUUGUUCUUCCAUAAACAAUUAAUUUCUAAUUCUUAGGGUUUUUUGUUCUGUUCUAUUUGGUUGUUGUGUUGUGUUUCGCCAUUGAAUUUUAAUUUUGCAGGUGUAGGGAGAACCAGAGAAACCAACACCCCUAAUCAGUUUUAGUUUUUAUUUGAUUUUGUUGAACUUUUGAAGAAACAAUUAUAGGGAUGUAAGCAUUCAUAUAUUUUUGUGAGCAGGGAUUAAUUUUGCUUUAUAUUUGAAACUAACGCAUCAAUAGAUAAAAGCAAUUAGAGGGAUUUUAAAAAGUUCACCGGAAGGUGAUCGUUUAUGAUCUAGAUAGGUAUUCUUCAUAAUAUUCAUUGGUUGGAUUGAAUGUAUCGGUCUCUCUAUCUCAUCUAAUUAUGUUUCUGAUUUUUUUUUUCCUUCACUUUUGCAGGUUUUCCUUUUUGGUAGGAUUGUGUUUAUAGAGGAAUGCAUAGCUUGACUGUAAUACUGAUGUAGAACAAGAGGAUCCAUCAACUAUUGGUAUUUGAGAAAGCUUCAACUUUGACGGAAGCAAGAAGACUAGAUAGAUAAGUAACUCUCUCAGUAGUUAGGUGCAAGAUUUAAUGAAUCAAUUUUGGUUAACACAAACUCAAAACAACCAUUGAUACAACCUCUUUGGUAUUAAAAUCUAGAGAUCUUUAGGUCGUUUUACCAAUUUUUUUGUCCCUCGCUCUCAUUUCAUCCAGCACCCAAUUUCAAGCCUCUAUCCCC